GCUCUGGUGGCCUGGUGGUUAGAGCGUCCGCCUCGGAUGCGAGAGUCGUGGUUUCGAUCCCCGAUCGAGUU